UGUGUGUGUAAACAAAACAUAUUUCUCAAUGACUCUGUAUUGUUUUAAAGUGUUAUUUGACGUUGAAUCAACUUCAAAUUUGUAAUAUCACCCAGUAAUUAAUCCAUCCUAAGUCUGAACGUUUCUGUGUAUUAUUUAUACAUAAAUCCACAACAGAAUAUUGACUGUAGCUACAGCUUUGAAGCAGUUUGUAUAAAUGAAUCCCACAGCAGAAGCCUCAGGGGUUUGCUAUACAGUAUCUCAGUCUCUUUGCUCUUCUGGGACGAGACCACUCUGCUGAACUGACCUUUGAUCACAUUCAUAUGUAUGUCACAAGCCCAGUGUUUACCUCAUGCUUUUGCUGUUCAGCUGUAGUUGUGUUAUUGCUCCAGACAAAGACAAUCCCAGUUAUCCGUCCCGUCCACCCCCUGCAGCCCCGAUCGAUGGCUCCUGAAAUCAAUAGUCUUAUUACAGCUGUGGUUGAGUGAGGAACAGAGCUCAUUAUCCCCUCUGUCUCAGAUCGGCCUGACGGGCAGGAGAGGUCACGAGGAGAUGUCACAGGUCACGGAGAGCCGCCAAUCACGCUUUAGCCUCAACAUUUUGACAUGCGCCCAAUGAUUGCCACAGAGAGAGAGAGAGAGUCAUGUGACCCUGCAGAAAACUCCAAUUAGAGCGCGGAGGUUACAAGUUCUUGGAAACCGAAGGGAUGUGAGUCACAGUGUGAAGUGCAAAACCUUGGAAAAUGCUUUUAAUCACCGAUUCGAAGCUCCUGACUUUUUCGGCAACUGCUGCCAAACCCAUGUGACCUGAAGUACCUUAAAGUGUUUUAAGGCUUGAAUUCUUACUGCCACAUGUGAAGGACGAUAUGAGACACUGCGCUUCUGUCCGAGAGAAAGCAUGUGUUGAGCGAUGGAGAGCUGAGAUUCGGAGGAGAGAGCGGGUCACCUGGAGUCCAGAGACUAUAAAUGAGGUUUACACGAGUCCUGUGAAAGAGGUAUUCAUUAACCGUGAUGUUUGCAUGGUGACUAAAGCUGAAGGAAUCUGUCAAUUCAACUCCACUUGAGCUCAGUGAAAGCUUUAAUGGUUUACAGCAGCGAAUGCAUGAUGAUCUAAACCAGUGUUGAUGCUCCUGGCGUCCUUCAUACGGAUUAUUCUGAUGUAAUGCAAUCAAACUUAAUGAAUAAUUCUCUCCAAAAUCAAACUUUUGUAAUUAUUUACUUGUCCUCGUGUCAUUGCGUGGAAAAGAGUUGCUUCAAAACUUCAGGUUCAGUGCAUUUACACCACAAUGAUGUGCUACAAACAGACGUUGUCAAAAUUAUUAAUGUUUGCAUGGAUCAGUGAAAAACAACUUUAAAAAACGCUUUAUAAUGCAUUGUCAGGAGUCAUUUUAUAAAGACACACAUAACACAGAUGUUUAAUUGAGAUUUCGUAGUUUCACAAACUUGCACGAUUAAAUCACAAUGUUUUCAAAAGUUUGCAUAUUCAGAACAAAUGUUUUCCAUUUUUAAUUGAAAUUUCGAAUUUUUUUCUUUAGUUUUUUCUGCUGACGUUCAUUAAAUUAAAGGGUUAAUUGAUUUGGCUUGGGUUAAUUAGUGAAAACAGGUGAUGCUGGUUAAUGAGAGCCUUUAAAAACCCUUUGUUCAAAGCACUUUGGUAAAGAAAUAAGCAGGAGAGAAUGAGUGUGAAAACUGUUUAAUGUUGAAGGAAGGAGUGUGAAAAUUGAGAGAUUGUGUUAGUGAGGGAGGCUUUAUUUUCUUUGAAGACAAAGACAUAGAAACCGCUUCUUUUUUUUAGGAUUCAGUUGACAAAGACAAAUAUUAGUUGAGCUUCAAAAUCUUUAGUUUUGGGACUCAUAACUGCAUUUAAUGCAUGUGCAAUAUGUGGUGAAACACUAGAAUUGAACCAAACCCUUUUAAAACCUGAACUAGAUGUGUGCACAAAAUCACAUUUUUGAGAAAUGGCUUAUACCUCAAUGUAGUGCAUGUAAAAAAAAAUAAUAAUAAUUUGAAUAAUAUUUCAGGCGAAAACCAAAUUCGAGAACUUGAGAAGCAACCAAAUUUAUAGAUUAAAUGCAGUUUAAAAAGUACAGUAAAAAUAAAAUGAAUUUUGAAAGAAAUUAAAUUUUUUAUAUUGGCCAAAUUUGUGAUUUAAAUCUGUUGAGUUUGUACAAAUAAAGAAUAAAAUAAACAGUUAUUUUUAAUGUUUUCAAAAUGUUUUGUUACUACUUGAAUGAUACAAGUUACAUUUAAAUUUGAAUUAAUAAUUAAAAUGUUUAAUUUUAAAAUGAUGAAAAUGAAUUAAAUGUAAAUUAAAUAAAAAUUAAAUUAAAUCAACUAAAUGAAAAAUCUCCACAUUUGUGCUUCAUUCGUUUCAUUUGCACUAAAAAGCUUCCUGUCAUUUUAAAACAUGUGAAAGAAAUAUUCAGUCGUCCAGACUGCCCUCUUUCUGCUGAAAAUCCCAGCUCAUGGUUUAAGUAGAGAUUUGCUGGCAGCCAAAACCAGUCUAAACCAGAACUCGAAAUAAAGUAAGCUUUCUUCUUGGUGUGGAGUUUGAAGAACAAAUAUGAUGCCCACAGGAAAUUAUAUUAUUAUGCCGACGACCUUUUGAUUUCCUCGAGCUUCUCUGUAUGUGUUGAACAAGAAGUGCUCUAUCUGACUGAAUCACUUCCAUCACAAGCAGAAGCUGAUGAGUCACUGGAGGAUCUUAUGCUUCCUGGUUUCAUUCAGCCUCCAAACAGGGAAGAGCUUUAAUGAAAUAAUUAUGAAGCUCAUUAUCACGUUCACAAAGAUUUACAGCGGUUUACAGCUCCGUUCACUCUCACCUCCUCAAAACGGGUUUAACUCAUUCUGUUUUUAGAUGCAUCUGUGAAGCUUGUAACAAAGACGAAGAAGUAAAGAAUAAAAUAACAUUUUUAGUUAUUUGAUAUAUUUGUUAUGGAUGGAUUUCUGCCA